rnacentral:misc_RNA from 1 species
AACCAGAAGACCACCCAUAGAAUGACUUAUAAUGUUUAUCUUCUUGCCUCCUGACGCAGUAUGUAUGGAUUCUAGCUUUUGCGCAAAACACUCCAUUGUUUCCUGAAGCCUGUUGCUCUGCCGGAAAUCAUAGCCAAAUCCAAAUAGUGUUUUUCCUUCUUGGUAACCCCAGCUGAGCAUCUCAACUAUCAUAUCAUGGUAAUAAUAUACACAAUCAGACCCAAUAAUCAUGUCAGGAUCCAAAUUAUCAAUAGCAUACAGUCCAUAUCUGUCCUCCGGGACCUCAAUGCUUGUGUCAGGGUCUAAAUUGGUAGUUUUACCGGUAGAAGGGUCAAAACGACACCAUAACUUAUCACAAAACUCAUGAUCGGCACCAAGUAUUCGGACCCAAACCCGUUCGGUCCGACCUGUUUUCUUAUCAACAGCGUUGAGAAUCGACCCGGCAACACCCGGAACUAAUAGAACUGGAUCAAGUGUCGGGUCAAUGUACUCCUGAGGCUUCUUGAUCAGCUUCAGCCACAUCUCUAUUGACUUAAUCAGCUCCUCUAUUAACAUCGCCAUUCCCCUAACGUCAAAUUGCAGAUUACAGAAAUUGGAGAAGAAAUUCAAGCAAAGGGUAAAUUUAGAGUUCAAUUCAAUGAAAUUGAAUGAGAAAUAGAGUGAAUUUUAGGGGUUUUUUCUGGAUAAGGCGGAGGAAGGCGGCGAUCGAUGGCGGAGAAGAGCCGUGGAGUUGACGGAAAGUGAA